AACGUAGGAGACAAGCGUUAUCCGGAGUUACUGGGCGUAAAGCGCACGCAGGCGGUCAUGUAAGUGUGGCGUGAAAGCCCUCGGCUAAACUGGGGGAGGACGAAACAGACUGCAUGACUAGAGUGGGAGAGAGGGACGUGGAAUUCCGGGUGUAGCGGUGAAAUGUGUAGAGAUCCGGAGGAACACCAGUGGUGAAAACGGCGUCCUGGGUCCUGACUGACGCUGAGGUGCGAAAGCUUGGGGAGCGAACGGG
rnacentral:rRNA from 1 species